CAGAGCUUAAAUUUAGGUUUACUUUUUACUUAAAGUUAACCUCUACCCUAUCACUGAAAACAAUGAAAACUCUGAAGUCGUGUUAACUGAAUAGGUAUUUCCACCUAAAGAAACUGCAUCUUGUAAUUUUAUAAAUUCUACAGUUUUAG